GAUCAGCAUUGAAUCUUUUAGCAUGCACAUAUUUACCUACACAAGCCGUAUGCUUACAUUUCCUUUCUUGAGAUGAAUAUAUGCAUGUCUACUUAAAGAUAAAGCAGAGAAUCUUUUUCUUACGGGUGGAUUAUCUGAACCAUUGGUCUGCAUAAUUUUCAGUCACUCUGGUGAAUCAUUCAUGCUUGUUGGUGGGUAGUUUUCACUUCCUGCGCAAAGCGAAGGUUGGGCUCCUCACAGACGCCUCUGUCGCUGGUUUUCUGCUCGACAGAGUGCCAUGACCCUGGGGUGCAAGCAGCUGAUGCCCAGUGUUAAAAAAAAACAAAGCUAACCUCUCUGGGAUAACGAUGACUGCUGCGAUGCCUGCAGAGCAGGUGGAGUCUACGGUAGAAGACGUGAGACGCGGUCAAACAGAAGAACACCAGCAAUACCUCAAGCCUGGAGGAGUUCUGCUGUGUGGUGGAGUUGCUAAUGCAAAUGGUUAGCUUAUACUAGCCAAGAUGUCCUCUGCUGUUUCUUGGACACUAAAACAACAGCCUUCCCCAUCCUGAGCCAAGAUGGAUGAGUCCAUGACUAUUAAGUGCGGUGUUGUACCUGAAUGUGUUUAUUGAACUUGUUUAUUUUUUGUAAACGUGAAUUGAAUUUGUUGGUUAUGUUAAAGUGAGUAAGUCCGUUUGUUCUGGCAUGGUUGAACAGAUUUAUGGACGUGACCAUCACCACGGAUCUAAAGCCUAGCUAAAACAUCCUGGUAACCAUAGAGUAUGUAAAAAGUAGAACCCACAAAUGCGGCCACCACAGGCAGUAGCGGUUGGUGCAGCAUCUACUAUUUCUAUGCCUAUGCUGUGUGGAGGACGGACGUCCUGUAGCCUUGGAAAAUAUACAACUGUAUAUAACAUACUUUUAUAGGUUUUUAUCUGUUUGCUAUGAUCUGUCUGUUAUAUUGGCAAUUGUAUGUAUUGUAUGUCAUGUUGUAUGUUAAAAAAAUAUUCCUUGACUUUGGGGGUUGUUCCCGUUCAGUAUUUCUACUCGGAAAUAGAAAUUUCUGAGUACGGAAUUAACUGGGGAAAAAAAUCUAAUCAGAAAACAGUAGUCACAGAGUUGCAUGGGUAAUAUUUAACUAUUCAUUUAUUUGCUCUUCAUAAAUUCUCUCUCCCCCUCUCCCUCUCCCUCUCCCUCUCUCUCUCUCUCACUCUCAAAAAAUAAGGAACAGUGAACUUGGUUAAAAAACAUUUUAGUGACGAACUAAAGCGGCCUUUCCCAACACUGGUUAAGUGACAGUGUGAUGCAGAUCUGUCUAAGCUUUUCUACUCCUAGCCUUUCACUGUCCAUUUUCCAUCAGCAUCUAUUGCAAGAUAGGCUUAGGAGACUUUUUUAUGUUCAGCUUGCGUGUCAAUCUCAGAAUGUCCAAUAAUAGUCAGAAAUAAUAUUUUUAAAUGGUUUUUCAGUGUUCCACACCUUUAAUUACAUGACGAGAGGUUUGAGUGUGAGACAUAAUCAGAUAGAGAGACUGUCAAACAGAAAGUGUAUUCAGUAGUAAACCAUAACUGUAUCGCUCCAUUCCCACCCCCUACUCCCCUAUUCCCAAGUAGCUGAUUUCAUCCCUGGCAAAGCCACUCUCACUAUAAUCUGCCCUGAUCCAUCUGCACUGUCAAAAACUCAGAUAUCAAAUGUACAGACAUUAAAAACCUGGGUCAUCAAGGCUGGAACUGCUGGUGUACAUCUGCUGGUAUUAUUAUUGUUUUUACCAAACAGGUAAAUACAAUAAAGAGGCUCUCACUGGAGCUGUCUUCAUUUCAAACUUCCUUGUUACUCAGGUGGUUUUAGCAGACUGGUGAGCAGAUUUCAUCUAGCUUGUAGUUAUAUAAUAUCUAAAUCUCUAAGCCCAUCUUUGGAAUAGCUGAUGGAUCCAGAAACAUCAAAAAUCAAUGAUAAUGCAGGAGAGCACUCGUAAUAUAUAAUCUGCUGGACCAGAAAGUCUUAUCAAGCUUCAUGAGCUUUACACAUAAAAACAACAAAACGCUGAAUUUUAGCCAAAAUAUGAAACAAAAGGAGGAAAAGUGAUCCCAUCCAAACACACGUGACUUACCCAUGA